rnacentral:lncRNA from 1 species
CUUCUAUCAUUCAUUCAACAUGUAUAUAUGCAUGUUUUAAUGUAUGUGUAUAUGCAUAAUCUAGUAAAUACAAUUACAUAGCAAUCGUUCAAUAACUUUGUGGAAUGAAGACCUCUGUCUUGAUUGAUCAAAAAUCUGGUCGGGUUUGCUUUAUGUUCUUAAAACAAUGAGAGAAAAAAAAAUCACAAUACCAUAGUAUUAUGGUUAUAGCUUCAUUCUACAAUUUCAAUACCUAGUUGUCCCCAAUUUUUUUCCUACUCUUUAAUGAUAGAACUGUCUACUCUUUAUUAUAUAGCUCCUUGAAAUAAUGUCUCUAUUUCCCUCUCUGCUACUAGAUGCUACUGUGCUAUUAGAUCUGACCAUGAGAUGUAAAAGUGGAAAUGGUGUGUGCAACAUUGAGGAAGUUCUUCAAAAGAAGAUAAUUCACCAUUCUUUCCUUCUUCCUGCUGGUUGAAAUUAGACCUGCUGGCUCAAGAUCCUUACAGAAGGCAGAGCAACAAGACUGAAAGAGCUGAGUCCUUGACACUGGAAUACCAAAAUCACCCUUGAAUUUCUACCUCCAUCCACUUUUACAUGGAGAGAAAUAAACUUUUAUUUAAGCUACAAUUAUCCUAGGUUUUCUGACAUAUACAGCCAAAAUUAUCUUGUUCAAUGUGGAUAUGUGUAUUAGCUUCCUACUGCUAAAGUAAAAAUAUUACCACAAGUUUAAUGGAUUAAAACAAAUGUAAUUCUAGAAGUCAGAGUACAAAAUGGGUCUCAUGAGACUAAAAUCAAGGUUUUGGCAAGAUGAGUCUACUUCAGAAAACUCUAGGGAGAGUAUGUUACUUUGCCUUUUCCAGCUCCUAGAGGCUGCUCACAUUCCUUGGCUCUUUAGCAUCUUCUUCCAUCUUCAAAGCCAGCAACAUCUGGCAGUCAUAUUGCCAGCUCACUGUUUCUUUUAUACUGCCUCCCUCUUCCACAUAAAAAGGACUUUGCUAUUCAGUUGAACCCACCCAGAUAAUCAGGACAUCUUCCCAUUUUAAGAUCAACUGAUUAGCAAGCUUAAUUCCAUCUGCAAUUUUAAUUCCCCCUUGUGAUAUAACCUAACAUUCACAGGGUUGGGUGAGUAAGACAUGAACACCUUUGGGGGCCACUGUUCUGCCUACUACAGUGUACAGAUUUUUAAGUUUUGUGAUUGAGAAAUACGUUUUUACUUUAUGAUUUAUCUUUAAUACAUUUACAACUUAUAACCCUAUGCUAAUUAGUCAUUACUCUUUAUAGAACAUUUAGCAUUGUGCCCCAUAAUUUUUAAAUUUUAUAUAUGUGAAGGACAGGUAGUCUAAAAAUGAAUUAUAAUCUUUUCUAAAUUCACAGGGAAAGUGUAAGUAGGAUAUUUUCAGUAUUGAAUUUUUCUUCAUAUUUUUAAUAAUUUGCUUGCAGUUAUUUACUUCUCAUACAAGAUUCCAUGUAAGUUAAGAUAAAGUUCAAUAUAGAAUUAUUUUCAAGUGUAAAUUGUACGUAUUUCCUGGUGUUCCUCACUUUCCAAACACAUUUGAGUACAGCACUUUAUGAUCCUCUAAUCGUCAAAAAUUUUAAAUUGGUUAAUUUCAUGGAAAUCCAAAUAGUAUGUUGGUGUUACUCCUUCAUUCAAUGCCUAUUUUCAAUCCUAAAGCUUUAAUGGGGUGGGGGUGAGAGAAUUAAAAGCUAGAAGUCACAGAGUAUGCAAAUCUUAAGGAUGGAACUAUAGUGCUUUUGGGGUGCAUAUCCAAUAGAAUUAAGCCCCACAUAGCUAAUAAUUCCCCCAUACUUUAGUUUGUCCAUGCCACUGAUAUAGCAUUUAUCCCUAUAUGUGGACUUUUGUUGAGAGCCACUGCCACAUCAGGAUGGUGCCUGGCAUUUUGCCAGAAGGAGUGGUUGGGAGGUGACGCCAGUGAGCCAUUAAGAUGAUAAUAAUUAAGUUAAGCUGUGUAUAAUUAUUAAGAUAAUGACUGAUUGCUGUAACUGGAUGAUGCUAAAGUGAAACAAGCUGUGUAUUCAGUUGGUAUAUAAACCUCUGCUGUCCAGCAAUAAGGCGGUUCCUGCUACCUCCGGCGCCCGCUACUUUUGAGUUCCCGUUGGUUCUCGCAGAGUUUCCUUGGAGUUAUGGAGAGUUCCCGUGGGGUUCGGGCAAUAAAGUAGUUCCUGUUUGAACCUACAAGUGGCUAGUGGCCUCUCAGGUAUUUGUGCCCAGCCAGACUGCAGGCAGUUUUUGUUUUGUUUACAUCAGGCCCCUCUCCUAAUUAUCUUUGGGUUUCUGUUACUGAAAGCAGUGCCCGUCCAAAACAUUCUUAAUAAUUAUGGAAAAGAGGGAAGGUUUCUUGUCAUUGAUGAAUCAUUACAGCACAGAAAUUUUGUGAAGAGCAAAUAGAAUAGGGUUUGCGGACUAUACCAUAUGUUAUCUGGCACUUGGUAAACAGUACAUGAAAGACAACAAAAAAUAAAUAAAUUCUUAGGCAAAGAUUAAAGUCAGAUGUAAAGGACAUAAUCACUAGAAUUCUUAUAUAGUGUCUUUCUCUUCAAAGCAAAAAAGAUAAUCUUUAUCCCUGAAAUUGUCAUUUAAAGCACAGGUAUAACUAAAGAACAAAAGAAAGAGAUGAUGUUAACAUGUUUUGCUUAGCAUUAGUUGGAAUAUUGUCUAAAAAUGUUAGCUUACCUUAGCUAUAUUAUUUAAGGAACUGUCUCUACAAUAAGUACACUUCCAACCCUAGGAAAAAUAACACUAUUUGCAAUGCAAUUAGCUAGCCUGUGGCACUUGCUAUUCUUAUACAGAUCAUUUUUAAAAUGCAAGUAAAGAUUAUGAAAGAAAUAUAAAAAUUGCCUUAGUGUUGUUUCUUGAUUUGCAGAUACCUAUUUGAACUGUAGAAGCAAAAAGUAGGAAAUUAUCAUAAAGAUAUUGGUGAUUUUUUUUUCAUAGAAUCCAAAAGUAAGAAUGAAGUCAGGUCUCCCAAAUGAAGAAUCAUGAAUACCUCUAAAUGUACAGGUGGUGCCUCUCCAUUUUUUGGCUCUUUGUGUUUCUGUUCCAUUUUGUUGGAAGGCCUACUGUUGUGCAUGAAGGUAGUGUGAGGAGACAGAUAAAUACCUGCUAUAACCAUUCCAUAGUGCUUAGAGAAAAAAAUCCUACAUCGAAAGUGUUAGUCAAUAAAAAUUCUGGUUUUUUUGUAGUUACAAUAGUCAGUUUUUCCAUAUACAUAUAAGAACAACAUAAUUUAGUAAUUUCCUUUAACCUACAUCCAUUUUCCUACAUAGCUACAUAACCUUUAUAUUUGUCCUUUUUUACAUGAUUGUAACAUUCAAGUUGAUAAGUGUAAUUUACUAAGCCAGGGUUCAUAUUGUUGAAAGUUUCAUUAUUUUUGCUUUAUAAAGAAUAAACACUAUUAUAAUAAAGUUUUGUUUUUAUUUGAUUUUUUAUAAUUUCCUGAGAAUACUCUCAAAAUUGGAAAUACUUACUAGAUGGAAAUGACCAUAUUUGUCUUUUUAAACAUAUUGUCCGCUUAUUUUUUAAAAGGAUUACACAAACAUGAUGUCACUCAAGAUUUAUGAGUUUGACCAUGAUUUAAAAUUUCCCAAAAUUGCUAGCUUAUUCAGACAGACUGAAAACAUUUGAAUUCCCUGAUAUUUUAGAAGAGGGGUAUAGGAAAACACAAGUGCAACAAGAACAUGUAUAAAUAUGUAAUAAGUUCCAUACUGGAUUAAAUCAAUGAUCACUCCAGCUCUGGCUCUUAAGACCUAGACAGGCUCUUUUAUGUUAAAUUCACGUUUAUCUGGUUUUUAAAAACAUUCCUUUCUCUUUUUGCAAAGGACUGGCUUUGGGUUUAUAACCAGUUUUGUCUCCGAAAUUAUCUACCUAGGCUUUACUCAAGUGCAAUUGAAUUUAAUCACAUUUUUCUUUUAAGAGUAAUUUAUAAGGUGUUCUUAUAGAUCAUAAAAAUGCUCACAAAGAGCCAAAUUGUUUUAUUUCCAGCUUUGAACUUUUUGUAUUUUGUUAUAAAGUUUAGGGACUUACAUUGUUUCACUUCUUAAUUAAAGGUAAAGUCAUUCCUAGUUAAAAUAGUUCAUAAAAUGUAUACAUUUGCAAUCAGCUUUAGUCAACAUAUUUUGGUAUUACAACUAACAAUUUAUAUUAAUGUUGUAAAUAUUUGUGGAAUUUUGUUAUUUUCACACUGAAUUAAUUACUGUCAUUGAAUAAGUACCUUCUCUCUUUAGUAGCUCCAUUUAUUUCCUGAAUCUACCCAUUGAUACUGUGCUUUUGAUUUAUAAAAUCACCAAUAAAUAUGCAGCUUUUAAUAAAUGUCCAUUUUCCAUAUAAAAUAUGGAAAGUCUCCCAGCAGAUAUUUUCAUUAGCUAGCUGGUGAUAUUUUCGGUAAACGCCAAAAGGUAAUUUAUGAAUAUAUAAAACAUUAAAUGUGUAACAACUAUAACAGAAAGGGUUAGUAGAAUAAGUGAUUAAUAUAUUGUCUACUAACAGAAAAAAUUAAAAACACUGACAUUAUGAGAAAAUAUAAUUAGAAUUUUGAGCUGAUCAAGUAAAUUUAUUUCAGUUCUCUUAUUUUCUAUGUCCAUG